AUUGAACGCUGGCGGCAUGCCUUACACAUGCAAGUCGAACGGCAGCACGGGUACUUGUACCUGGUGGCGAGUGGCGAACGGGUGAGUAAUACAUCGGAACGUACCUUAUCGUGGGGGAUAACGCAGCGAAAGCUGUGCUAAUACCGCAUACGCCCUGAGGGGGAAAGCGGGGGAUCGAAAGACCUCGCGCGAUUAGAGCGGCCGAUGCCUGAUUAGCUUGUUGGUGGGGUAAAAGCCCACCAAGGCGACGAUCAGUAGCUGGUCUGAGAGGACGAUCAGCCACACUGGGACUGAGACACGGCCCAGACUCCUACGGGAGGCAGCAGUGGGGAAUUUUGGACAAUGGGGGAAACCCUGAUCCAGCAAUGCCGCGUGAGUGAAGAAGGCCUUCGGGUUGUAAAGCUCUUUUGUCAGGGAAGAAACACCGGCUCUAACACAGUCCGGGAAUGACGGUACCUGAAGAAUAAGCACCGGCUAACUACGUGCCAGCAGCCGCGGUAAUACGUAGGGUGCAAGCGUUAAUCGGAAUUACUGGGCGUAAAGCGUGCGCAGGCGGUUAUACAAGACAGGCGUGAAAUCCCCGGGCUUAACCUGGGAAUGGCGCCUGUGACUGUAUAGCUAGAGUGUGUCAGAGGGGGGUAGAAUUCCACGUGUAGCAGUGAAAUGCGUAGAUAUGUGGAGGAAUACCAAUGGCGAAGGCAGCCCC
rnacentral:rRNA from 1 species